UACGGAGAGUGCAAGCGUUGUUCGGAAUUAUUGGGCGUAAAGCGCGUGUAGGCGGUCCAACAAGUCUGGCGUGAAAGCCUUGAGCUCAACUCAAGAAGUGCGCUGGAAACUGUCGGGCUUGAGUACCGGAGGGGAAGGUGGAAUUCUCGAGUGUAGAGGUGAAAUUCGUAGAUAUUCGGAAGAACAUCAGUGGCGAAGGCGACCUUCUGGACGGAUACUGACGCUGAGACGCGAAAGCGUGGGUAGCAAACAGG
rnacentral:rRNA from 1 species